CAGCUGUGGAAGGAAAGGGAGGGAAGCCGAAUGGGCAGGGGAAGAAGUUGAGCUGGGGUGCGCGCUCAGUCAAGGCCUUGGCCGACCCCAGGUGGAGCUCAAGAGCGGAAAAGACCCCGCGGAGUUAUCCUCAGUCUUUCUGGGACUUCCCUGAUGGCGCAGUGGUUAAGAAUCCGCCUGCCAACGCAGGGGACAAGGGUUUGAUCCCUGGCCCGGGAAGAUCCCACAUGCCACGGAGCAACUAAGCCCAUGUACCACAACUACUGAGCCUGCACUCUAGAGCCCGUGAGCCACAACCACUGAGCCCACGUGCCACAACUACUGAAGCCCGCGCGCCUAGAUCCCGUGAUUCGCAACAAGAGAAGCCACCGCAAUGAGAAGCCCACGCACCGCAACAAAGAGUAGCCCCCGCUCGCCACAACUAGAGAAAGACCGCAUGCAGCAACGAAGACCCAGUGCAGCCAAAAAUAAAUAAAUAAAUGUUCCUUUAAAAAUUUAACAAAUAAAUAAAUAAAUUCUAGUCUUUCUGUA